AACUAUCAGGAUGUUGAAAUGAAAAGAGGCGAUUGGAUGUGUCUCAAAUGCAAUUUCUAAACUUCGCUAGAAAUUUAAUAUGUCUAAAGUGUAAGGAAGAUGGUCCUAAAAGCAUUCGUGGUGGUGACAUUGAAACGAAGGAUGGAGACUGGAUCUGCUCUGAGUGCGUGUAUUUAUCUCGGAUGUGAUGAUGUUCUCAAUCCAACAAAUUAUGGACAAGCAACCCCUGACGACCCCCUUUUUUAUAUGUUAUAAUUAAGUUAUUGCAUACCAACUUGUCACUCUUUUUCCUGUCCUUUGACUGGUGCACUUUGUAUUGCAGAUGCAAUUUCAUGAAUUUUUCUAGAAAUACGCGAUGCUUCAAGUGCAAAGCAGGGGGUCCAAAGGGGCUUGCUGUGGACGAGUUCGAAGUGAGGAAAGAUGAUUGGAACUGCCCUCUGUGCCUUUUCGUGAACUUUGCUCGCAAUAAAAAUUGUUUGCGUUGCCGUGAGCAACGGCCUAAGAGACUGCUAAACUAUGGAGAGUGGGAAUGUCCCUCGUGUGAUUACUUAAAUUAUAGCAGGAAUGAAGUCUGCCGAAAGUGUAAGUCUGGGCGCCCUAAAGAAGAUGCAACAGCGUAUGAAGAGCAGGUGUGGAGGAGACCUUACUAAAGGAUGCAUCUGCGAACGCCCGUUAAUCACACAUGUAGACGAUUAGGUGGCUGUCACUGCAUGAUAUAAUUACCGAACUCAUGUUACAUGGGAAUUUAAUAUCCCACAUGGCUAGUAUUCUACAAAAAAGAUUGGUAUGGUUGAGUCUUCCUAUUACCUGUUCCAAAAGCUAUGCUAUGGCUGUUACAGGGCUACCGUUACCCAAUUUGUAGUAGAUUCCAGAUUUGUUUG